UACGUAGGGUGCGAGCGUUAAUCGGAAUUACUGGGCGUAAAGCGUGCGCAGGCGGUGGCUCAAGCCAGGCGUGAAAUCCCCGGGCUUAACCUGGGAAUGGCAUUUGGGACUGCAAGGCUUGAGUGCGGCAGAGGAGACUGGAAUUCCUGGUGUAGCAGUGAAAUGCGUAGAUAUCAGGAGGAACGCCGAUGGCGAAGGCAGGUCUCUGGGCUGACACUGACGCUCAUGCACGAAAGCGUGGGAG
rnacentral:rRNA from 1 species